UCCUGGCUAGCUCAGUUGGUAGAGCAUGAGACUCUUAUUCUUGUGGUUGUGGGUUUGAGCCCCACGUUGGGUA